UAAUACAUAUAAAUUGUGCUUGAGUAGAUGACAUAAUUUAUAUAAUUCUGAAAACUUUUAAGUUAUAUUAGUAUAUAUAAAGUAAUACUUAGAACAACCGUUUAGGUAAAAACUGAAACUGGGACAAUGUUUUUCACAUGAAACUAUGAAAUAAAAUUACAACUAAUCAAAAAAUGAUCCAACAGACCAGUUGAUUUCUAUGCUACUGUUGCAUGGAUUGGAUCUUCUUCUC
rnacentral:lncRNA from 1 species